UACGGAGGGUGCGAGCGUUGUCCGGAAUCACUGGGCGUAAAGGGCGCGUAGGUGGCCUGGUAAGGGGGCGGUGAAAGCCCGGGGCUCAACCCCGGGUCUGCCGGACCGACUGCUGAGCUAGAGCACACUAGAGGCAAGUGGAAUUCCGGGUGUAGCGGUGGAAUGCGUAGAGAUCCGGAAGAACACCGGUGGCGAAGGCGGCGCACUGGACCAUAACUGACGCUGAGGCGCGAAAGCUAGGGGAGCAAACAGG
rnacentral:rRNA from 1 species